CUCGUGGCUGUUUGCUUUCCAGUUCCUCCGGUCACCCUUUCGGCCUCUUUUUGCUGCCUUUCCAGUCUCUCAUUAUGUCCCCUCUUUUGCUCAGCUCUACCGCCUCCUUGGCGGCGAUUUUAGCCUCUUUGUGGCGCUUCGAAGCACGUCGGCAGGCUACAUGGCUGCGUGAUUAUCAGGUCUAUUUAGCAAGUACAUUACACGUGAGCAGUGUCUUUGAAGGCUCCGGGGGGUAUUCAGCUGCUGAAAGCCAAUCGAAUUGGUAUUCAGGGUGAAGCAGGAAAAUAUUUGUAUUUGAAAUAAUGGAAGAUCAUAACGAAUAACUCGAGCCUCUGUUCGAUUACAGCCGCGUUUAGCCUCUUGAUCUUGUUUCUUCAUACGAUGAUGAUGAUGAUGAUGAUGAUGAUUGCGUUCAAAUUCCUCUUAAAAAAGGAAGCUAACAGAUGGAGACCGGUCGUUGGAUUUAAGCUGAUAAUCUAGCUGGUAAACAGUUACAAAAAUUGAUGAGUGAGAUGAUGAGGAUUGGUUGCCUUCUCCAGUGAAAAUGUCAAUGGAUGCUCAGAAGCGAGCAGAGGAUUUUAUUAUUAAAACUAUUAGGUUGAGAUUUUCCGUGGCAUCAAACAGCUCCAGCUUUCAUGUAGCUCUGACCCCCUUGGGCACUCAGGAAGUUUCAUCUGUGAGCUUAUGAUAAAGGAAAAGUGGGUUGUGACUUCUUUUUAUUUACUCGUGGGAUCAUGCUAAAUGCUUUUUGAUAAUAUUAUGGGUUUGCUCGCAUAUAUGUUAUCCUUUGCUAAAUUGGAAGUGUGCAUUUCAGUUAGAAUGUAGCAACUUGUUCACUUGUUACUUGACAACAACAACUUAUCAGGGGAACUUCCACCAGGGCUUGCUUAAAUUCCUCAUCUACUUAUAUUGCAGUGGAUCGGGAGUACGUUGUGCAGGCAUUGCCAGCAUUCGUAAUGAUAAAAAGGGGAAAAGCAAUUGACAAGGUUGUCGGAGCAGAUAAGGCAGCAAUCCAGAGAAGAUUGAGACAUACAUGUUCUAAUAAAUAAACGUUAGACCGAGAUAUCAUUUUAGAAGAAAACACAAUAAGCAGGCAGUACAAUCUGUGUUAGCAGUAGUAUUCAUAUGUACCUACAUCAACAUUUCAUAACCUCUUGUAAAUUAUUGCACUUCUUAAUGGUGUUUGUAAAAGUUGUCGGUUUUAAAUAAGGAUCACAGCAGGUUACGGUCACUUCUUGAGCCUGUACGAUGAUUGAGUACUUCUAACUUUUAAUCUGUACAACAGCAUUUUACUGUAUUUUUUCUGAGAAACAAAAAUGGCAGCCUGCAAUUCGAGAUUUCCUUUUUUUUUUUUAAUUAGGUAAAGA